rnacentral:rRNA from 1 species
UACGAACUGUGCAAACGUUAUUCGGAUUCACUGGGCUUAAAGGGUGCGUAGGCGGCUUGCCAAGUAGGGUGUGAAAGCCCCCGGCUUAACCGGGGAAUUGCGCCCUAAACUGGCGAGCUGGAGUGAGAUAGGGGUGUGUGGAACUUCCGGUGGAGCGGUGAAAUGUGUUGAUAUCGGAAGGAACGCCGGUGGCGAAAGCUACACACUGGGUCUCAACUGACGCUGAGGCACGAAAGCCAGGGGAGCGAACGGG